rnacentral:rRNA from 1 species
UACAGAGGUCUCAAGCGUUGUUCGGCUUCAUUGGGCGUAAAGGGUGCGUAGGUGGCGCCGUAAGUCAGGUGUGAAAUUUCGGAGCUUAACUCCGAAACUGCAUUUGAUACUGCGGUGCUUGAGGACUGGAGAGGAGACUGGAAUUCACGGUGUAGCAGUGAAAUGCGUAGAUAUCGUGAGGAAGACCAGUGGCGAAGGCGGGUCUCUGGACAGUUCCUGACGCUGAGGCGCGAAGGCCAGGGGAGCAAACGGG